rnacentral:ncRNA from 1 species
GAUUCGGCGUUGACAGGGGUCAGUAAAUAGUACACGGAACGAAAGAGAACGGAGUCCACCGGCUGAAAGACUCCAGCGUUUUUCAUACUAUUGAACCUACCCUUUGAGCUGCUGGGCGAAUAACCCGGCCGUUCUCCCGCGUUACGGGGAAGAGAGGGCAUCAUCGUUGUGUGAUGCCAAAAAAGGUGGUACCGCGGAGCUUAAGACUCUUUUUCCGUCCUUUGC